AGAGAUGAAUCCCUGUGGGAUGCUCGUGCCCUUCCUUCUAAGCACCCCAUCUCUGUAUCUCAGAUCCCUCUGCAAAGAGCAAAAGUUCUUAAGAUCUCUCUGUCCCACAAAGUAGGAGUUCCCCAAACCUCAUCUUGCCCCUUUGACGUCCAAAGAAAAAUUUUCAACGCUAUUCUAUAAAUUGUUUGCCCCUAUUUCAUCCGUGGAGUAUCACUACAAAACCCAUUAUCUGAGGCAACUACCUCUACAAAAUACGGUACACAGCAUUCAUCUUGGUGGUUAGGAAGGCCACGACAUUGAUCAUUCCUCAAUCGUUGCUCUGCUCACUCGUUAAUUUGGUCAAAUUUGGCACCUUAUACGGAAAAUUCAACUACAAAUACAUCAUGCCGAAAGCAAUGCAACCCACCACUCAAAUUCCCUGCAAACACUGUAGCCCAAUCACCAGAUCUAAGUUUAGAGGUCGUUCGUCUCAUACUGUGACCCCCAUGGCUCUAAGGACACUCUCCUUCUAGGUAUGUGAGGAUUGUUUUUAUAUACUAAGGAUCUGGGUGUGGUUGGUUUUAUAUGCUGGCAAUUUGGGUGUGGUUAAUUUAACAAGUUGUGUUAUCUGCUCAAUAUUUAUGACAUAAUUUUGGUUUAAUUAUUUUUAUGAUGGUUGUGAUCACAUGGAUCAAGAACAAGCCUGAGACCCCUUGAAACUAUCAUGCAUUAUGGGAUGUUGUUCUACUUCUCUGCUCUCAACAACUUCUUGUCUGGUUAUAAUGUUUACAAAUAACUAGAAAUUGUGUUAGUAUGCUUUAAUGUGAGCCAAUGAUAUAAAUGUAUAUGACGUGAAUGUAUAUACUCAAUGAAUGUAUAUGAUUUUACAACAUGUUUGAUAUAAAUGUAUAUGUUGAAUGA